GUGGGGAAUAUUGGGCAAUGGGGGCAACCCUGACCCAGCGACGCCGCGUGAGGGAAGAAGGCCUUAGGGUCGUAAACCUCUGUUGUGUGGGAAGAAGGAAGUGACGGUACCACACGAGGAAGUCCCGGCUAACUACGUGCCAGCAGCCGCGGUAAUACGUAGGGGACGAGCGUUGUCCGGAAUUACUGGGCGUAAAGGGCGCGUAGGCGGUCAUUUAAGUCAGCUGUGAAAUGGUCCGGCUCAACCGGAUCAUGCGGUUGAAACUGGAUGACUGGAGUGCUGGAGAGACAAGUGGAAUUCCCAGUGUAGCGGUGAAAUGCGUAGAUAUUGGGAAGAACACCGGUGGCGAAGGCGACUUGCUGGUCAGCAACUGACGCUGAGGCGCGAAAGCCAGGGGAGCAAACGGGAUUAGAAACCCCAGUAGUCC
rnacentral:rRNA from 1 species